rnacentral:rRNA from 1 species
AGAGUUUGAUCCUGGCUCAGGAUGAACGCUGGCGGCAUGCCUAAGACAUGCAAGUCGAACGAGGUGGCCCAAAGAAGAUUGAGUGCUUGCACAAGAUUGGACUUGGAUUACCACCUAGUGGCGGACGGGUGAGUAACACGUAGGUGACCUACCUUUGAGUUUGGGAUAACUAUUAGAAAUGAUAGCUAAUACCGAAUUAGAUGCAGAUUCGUUUCUGUAUUAAAAGGAGCCUUUAAAGCUUCGCUUAAAGAUGGGCCUGCGGCGUAUUAGCUAGUUGGUGAGGUAAUGGCUUACCAAGGCGACGAUGCGUAGCCGAACUGAGAGGUUGAUCGGCCACAUUGGGACUGAGACACGGCCCAAACUCCUACGGGAGACAGCAGUUAGGAAUAUUCGUCAAUGGGGGAAACCCUGAACGAGCAAUGCCGCGUGAACGAUGAAGGCCCUAUGGGUUGUAAAGUUCUGUUGCAUGGGACGAACGAUUAGGAUAGGAAAUGAUCUUAAUGUGACGGUACCAUGCCAGAAAGCUCCGGCUAACUACGUGCCAGCAGCCGCGGUAAUACGUAGGGAGCAAGCGUUAUCCGGAUUUAUUGGGCGUAAAGGGUGCGUAGGCGGCUUGUUAAGUAUGAGAUUAAAGCCCGAGGCUUAACCUCGGUUCGUUUCAUAAACUGGCAGGCUUGAGUGUGGCAGAGGUAAACGGAAUUUCUAGUGUAGCGGUUAAAUGCGUAGAUAUUAGAAGGAACACCAGUGGCGAAGGCGGUUUACUGGGCCAUAACUGACGCUGAGGCACGAAAGCGUGGGGAGCAAAUAGGAUUAGAUACCCUAGUAGUCCACGCCGUAAACGAUGAGUACUAAGUGUUGGGGCAACC